rnacentral:rRNA from 1 species
UACGGAGGGGGCAAGCGUUGUCCGGAAUCAUUGGGCGUAAAGCGCGCGUAGGCGGCCCGAUAAGUCCGCUGUGAAAGUCAAAGGCUCAACCUUUGAAUGCCGGUGGAUACUGUCGGGCUAGAGUCCGGAAGAGGCGAGUGGAAUUCCUGGUGUAGCGGUGGAAUGCGCAGAUAUCAGGAGGAACACCAGUAGCGAAGGCAGCUCGCUGGGACGGUACUGACGCUAAGGCGCGAAAGCGUGGGGAGCGAACAGG